UAGAGCUUAGGUUAAAAAAAACUUUGAAUUUUCAAGAUUCAAGAUACAUUAGUAGCUCUAG
rnacentral:tRNA from 1 species